UCUCUUUGGGGCGGGUGCAGGCUUCCUCCUCUCCCCAAGCCCUGAGAAGGGGCUUCUUCAGCCAAGGAAAUGAGGGAGGGGGGAAAGAAAGAAGGUCUCUCUUUCCUUCUUCCCCUUUUCAGAAGGCAGCCAAGAUCCAAAAGGCAUCCCUGGAAUGUUUCCAGCAUCUUCUCUGGUGCCCGGAACAUCUCCAUCAGGAGCGCCAGACCAUCCAUGGCUGGAGGUGCUGGUUCAUGCAGAGGACGAGGACGAAGAGGUUGCUAAGGCGCGAGACCAGCACUGGCCCCACAAGGCCUUGGGGGCCAGGAAGAAGGGGAGUCAAGGGAGGGAGGGAGGGGCCCCUUGCCCUCCUUGUCAGCCUGGCUCAUUCCCUCUUCUUCUUCCUCCUCCUCUUUGAAAGCUGCGAGGGAGACCCUCAGGGAGGUAGCAGAGUUCCUGCGAUGGCACCUGGAGGACAGCGUUCUGGUGAGGGACACCUUCAGCCUGCAGGAGCUGCUCCACAAAAUCUCCAAGCGCCUGAUUCAGCACUGCAGCUCCAGGAGGGAUGUGGAGGAGCAGGUAUAUGGCUGCCUGCCUUUCUUAGAGAGCCCUAUCCCUCGGCAAAAAAAGGUGUACUUCGCAUAUCUCUUCUCUUCCAGCUGCUGCACAUUGGCUGGCAUCCAGACUCCUUGGGAAAGACCUGGAUGCUGCAGACAGCCUGGUUUUCACAUCCUCAUAAUGAUGCCUCAUCAUCAUUAAUUAAUGUGCAGAGGGCUCUCCAAGCAGGUCCAGCCGGGGCCGCCCCCCACAGAUGCCCCUCCAGCCGAGGCCCCUUUGCACGCCUACCUUGGGAUGGCCAUGAGCACGUGGCUCAGAGUAAGGCCACACUCCCUUGGGAGCCCUCCCCUCCCAUUGCCUUUGUGGCCCCGGAGCCAGCCCUGCUCUGGCAGUGUGGCCCCCUUCAUUGACUCCCACCACUUUCACAGAAGGCUGGGACCAGGCACACACAAUUCCGCCACAUGAGCCCCAGAAACACAGAGGAGGUUUCUGUGGAUCUUCCAAGCCAACGAAAAGGGGAUCCUCUGGGUGAGGUUCACCAGUCGCUUCUGGCAGGAUGAAAUACAUGGAAAACCCAGAGGAAGGAGCCAUGGAUUGUGUGGGAGAAGAAGGCCAUCCUGGAGGGAACCUGGACCCAAACCAUGGAGGGCUUUUAAAGUCAAAACCAACACCUUGUACUUUGCCCGGAAACUCAUUGGCAGCCGGUGGAGUGAUUUUAUUGAAGAUGUAAUCAGCUCACUCCUGGAUGUUUCUGUUUAAGAACUUGGUACAAAGUCAGAUCAAUGUGAAGCAUAUUGCAGAAGUCCAACCUUGAGGCAACCACCAUCUUUAGGUAUGCCAGACCUAGGAAGGGUGCGGCUGGCGCAUCAGUUGAAGCUGAUAAUAGGCCCCCCUGACAAUUGUUGCAUCAACUUGGGCUGACAUUUGGAGAGAUGCAUCCAGGAGCCUUUGUCCCAACCUGCAGACCCUUUUACGGGAAGUGCAACCCCAUACAGAAAUGGCUGAUGCACUUCCAUCCCCAGAUGAGAGCACUUGAUGGCAAGCAUCUCUGUCCUGUCUGGAUUCAGUCUCUAUUGGUUUUUCCUCAUCUAGCCCUUCGGAGCCUCCAAUGGCCUAGGGGAUAAAAGCCUUGUCACUUGAAGGUUGGGUUGCUGACCUGAAAGCUGCCAGGUUCGAAUCCCACCUGGGGAGAACGUGGAUGAGCUCCCUCUAUCAGCUCCAGCUCCAUACAGGGACAUGAGAGAAGCCUCCCACAAGGCUGGUAAAACAUCAAAACAUCCGGGCGUCCCCUGGGCAACGUCCUUGCAGACGGCCAAUUCUCUCACUCCAGAAGCAACUCCGGUUGCUCCUGACACGGAAAAAAAAAUCUAGCCCAUUGCCUUCUCUAGGCAUUUGUUCAGGAAAGGCACACUCUGCUUAGCUGAGGCUGUUUUUGAAGGCAUGGAAAAAUAUAUUUGUGUUUCACAAGCAUACAAAUAGCACCCUGCAUCCCAUGCCUCCAGAGGAUCUUUCACAGCAAUUUCAUGUAAAUAUUUAAAAAGUAUUGGGGAUAAAAUGGCCCUGUGCUGGUACAGCUGUACCAGAACCUUCUACUUUACUUUAUUGCUGCAAAUGUUUGCAUUCAUAGGACAGGCCACCUGUCAAUCACCAUUAAGUUUGGUCCCGCCCCUUGUUCAGGGCUCUGGGAGGAAAGGAGCCGUUUUUAAGUUAGUCUUACUUAUGAUUCUCAGCUAUAGGACGUAGACCAGCUCGUCCCGUAAAAAGCUUCAUAUUCCAAGACCACCGGGGAUAAAGAGCACCAGGGCUAAAGAGUAACAGGGAUAAAGACCACCGGGGAUAAAGAGCACCAGGGUUAAAGAACACUAGGGAUAUUGACUGUCAGAGGAUACAGAACAACAGCACAGAAACAUCUGAAAGCCAUUGGCUGGUAGGUCCACUCAACAACCAGACGCACUUGGAGUUGGCAGUGGGUCCCAGACUAGCUAGGCCCAGAUAACAGAUAGCCUGGGAGGGGUUAUAAGAGGGUUUUCACAGUUAUUCAAAGCCAAUCGCCUGUCCUGUGGGACAAGACUCCUUGAAGAUUUAUUAUUUGUUCGUCAAUAAAGACUUCGUUAUUUCUUUAAAGACUUCAAGGCCAUCUUUUCAGGAAAAUUCCUCAACGACCCUUCUUUAGGCACCCUGGCUUCCCGCUGGCCGUAAAGCGUACGUCCUAUAUAAUAGACAAUCAGUCACAGGCCCAGCGCGUGACAGAACAGGCCCCUUGUGGGAUGAUGCCAUAGGAUAGCUCCUUUUGGGGGGAGCAGCUCAGUCUGCUCUGAAGCCAGUUUGAAAUGGAUCAAGAAGUCUGUGUCCUCCAAGUCUGCCUGGAAUUGGAGGGCAACUGCCUUUUCAAUCAUUUUUCCCAAAAAAAGGAAGCUUAGAAACUGGUCUGUGACUGUUAAGACCCAGUCGACCCAGACAGGGCCUUUUUAGCAGCGCUCAGCUGUGUGUGUAUUCCCCGAAAAUAAGACUGGGUCUGAUAUUAAUUGUUGCUCCAAAAUAUGCAUUAGACUUAUUUUCAGGAGGUAUCUUGUUUUUUCAUUUACAAAAAUCUACACAUGAGAAUAUGUUUAUGCCUUUUCAGGAGUUUGCGUGGGCUUUUUUAAAAACAUGAUAGUCUUUUUUAAAAGACCAACAAAAUUUGAAACUAAAUUUUGUAAAACAAGUCCAAGGUCCUCUCUAUGGGAUUGUCAUUCUUUCCCCUUCAAUAUCCACUCAUGGCUUCCAACCUGUAUUCCCAGAACCAGGUCCUCCAUUGUCUUUCCUUCUCCUUUUACACCUCAGCCUUCCUGAGAUGUGUAUGCCAUAAACAAAGGGGCCCUGUUAUGGGGCCCCAUCCAGAGGCCCUUCCUUCUGCCUCGGUCCCUUCAUGAGGGACAAUGUGGCCACUGACUGGAGGCGGGAUUCCUAGCCAAGGCUCCUUCCUUGAGGGAUGAUGGUUCACACCCCAAGUUCAACACAAAUCAUUCAUUUUGUAAUUCCUGUAAUUAUAUUUCAAAUGCAUCUAUGUUGUUUUAAGCUGCAUUGUGAUUAAUUUUGUUAGCAGUCUUGAGUGAAAAUCAGGUAAAUAAAUACAUAAGCAAACAAACCA